rnacentral:tRNA from 1 species
GGCGGUGUAGCCAAGUGGUAAGGCAGCAUCCCGCCAAGGUGCCAUACGCGAGUUCGAUUCUCGCCACCGCCU